rnacentral:lncRNA from 1 species
CUCUCCUGGGCCCUCUCAUUCAGAGGUCCCUAUGGAGAUAAAGAAGAGUGAGUGUAAAGAAAAUUCAGGGCAGCAAGAGACAGGGUAAGGACUGAAGUGUCUUCCAUACGGUGAUGGAAAGAACAGCAUCAACCCUAAAAGCAAAGGAACAAACAGCUCCAGCAUCUGCUGCUAUAGCAGAAAUAGGUCCUGUUUACAUCAGGGAAGGAUCUGCAGAUUACAGCAGGAGUCAACCACAGCUUUCCCAAAAGCUCUCAUCUGACUCAAGUUCCAUGCUGGAUUCUGGAUGCUGGAAGACUGUUGUGUCAGGAUGCUGCAAAAGAGGUUGUUGCAUCUUCUGCCUGUAG